rnacentral:rRNA from 1 species
UCCUACGGGAGGCAGCAGUGGGGAAUAUUGCACAAUGGGCGCAAGCCUGAUGCAGCAACGCCGCGUGAGGGACGAAGGCCUUCGGGUUGUAAACCUCUUUUAGUAGGGAAGAAGCGACUGGGUUUUCCUGGGAGUGACGGUACCUGCAGAAAAAGCACCGGCUAACUACGUGCUAGCAGCCGCGGUAAUACGUAGGGUGCAAGCGUUGUCCGGAAUUAUUGGGCGUAAAGAGCUCGUAGGCGGUUUGUCGCGUCUGCUGUGAAAACCCGAGGCUCAACCUCGGGCCUGCAGUGGGUACGGGCAGACUAGAGUGCGGUAGGGGAGAUUGGAAUUCCUGGUGUAGCGGUGGAAUGCGCAGAUAUCAGGAGGAACACCAAUGGCGAAGGCAGAUCUCUGGGCCGUAACUGACGCUGAGGAGCGAAAGCAUGGGGAGCGAACAGGAUUAGAUACCCUGGUAGUCCAUGUCGUAAACGUUGGGAACUAGAUGUGGGGACCAUUCCACGGUCUCCGUGUCGCAGCUAACGCAUUAAGUUCCCCGCCUGGGGAGUACGGCCGCAAGGCUAAAACUCAAAGGAAUUGACGGGGGCCCGCACAAGCGGCGGAGCAUGCGGAUUAAUUCGAUGCAACGCGAAGAACCUUACCAAGGCUUGACAUAUACCGGAAACGGCUGGAAACAGUCGCCCCGCAAGGUCGGUAUACAGGUGGUGCAUGGUUGUCGUCA